CAAAUUUAAAAACCCUAAAACCCAAACAACCUCUGUCCUCUCUUCAUCAUCUUCACCAUUCAAGCAGACAACUUGAUGAUCCAUUGCGCAAUUUAACAUGCAUCACUGACGCCCACAAACAUUCCCGCACUAGACUAUCUUUCUACCCCAUUCACACACACAAAUUUUGCAGAUAAAAUCUAGCAGGAAAAUUCAAGAUUUCUGAGAGGAACCCAAGUUUUAUUUUCCUUUUUCCUUGCUGGGUUUCUUCGAGGAACCUUCUUUGCCUCCUUUUCUCUGUUUUGCCAACUUUCGGGGUUUCAAGUAUUCAAGAACCACAAUUUGAAAGCCAGAAAGAAGUAAUAUCAUCAGGCUUCUCCGGCAGAAAGGAAGAGUCGAAAUCAGAAGUUUUCUGAUGGCUGCAAAUAAGCCUCGAACGAGUAGUUUCUCUCGGAAUGUUGCAGUUUCCUUGCUGGGUUUCUUCUUAGCUCUUUCUUCUUGUAGAAAAAUAUUUGGUUUUAGUGUAAAUUUGCAUCGGGUAAUGGGUUUUUCCACUUCCGAAGUUUUGUUUUUGGAUGCAAAGUUAAUUUAGCUUCUGUUGUUUGGUCAAAGCUCAUCAGAUUUUGUGCUCUCAAUGGGCAAUUGGACGAAGCUCACCACCUGUUCGAUCAAAUGCCUAAAAGGAAGAUGAACCAAACUGUUCUGGAAAAGUUAGGUAAAAGUCUUGUAGUUUGGAUACAAAUGCUUAAUUAAGUUCUUGAUAGAUGCUGAUUGCUUAGUUGCCCUUUCUCCUCUUUUAAACCAAGUCUAAACUCAUUUAGAUUAUUCUAUUCUUGUUCUUGAAUAUUUCAGCCAAUGAAUAAAUUACUGAUAUUGGAAAAA